GAUGAACGCUGGCGGCGUGCCUAAUACAUGCAAGUCGAGCGAACAGACGAGGAGCUUGCUCCUCUGACGUUAGCGGCGGACGGGUGAGUAACACGUGGAUAACCUACCUAUAAGACUGGGAUAACUUCGGGAAACCGGAGCUAAUACCGGAUAAUAUAUUGAACCGCAUGGUUCAAUAGUGAAAGACGGUUUUGCUGUCACUUAUAGAUGGAUCCGCGCCGCAUUAGCUAGUUGGUAAGGUAACGGCUUACCAAGGCAACGAUGCGUAGCCGACCUGAGAGGGGGGUGGGCAAGAAGGGGAAUGUGAUAAGGUUGAGACGAGUACGGGAGGAAGAAGGGGGGAAUGUGGAGCAAUGGGAGAAAGAGUGAUGCAGCAAAGCCGAGUGAGUGAAGAAGGUCUUAGGUUGGUAAAGCCCUUUUGUUGGGAAAGAAAAAGAGCAGGUGAAUAAGCGGCUGUACUGACGGUACCGAAAGAAUAAGCACAGGCUAACUUCGUG
rnacentral:rRNA from 1 species